UUACCGGGGGAGGAAAGUCCGGGCUCCAUAGGGCAAGGUGCCAGGUAACGCCUGGGCGGCGCGAGUCGACGGAAAGUGCAACAGAAAAUACACCGCCUAAGUGCCUUCGGGCGCCGGUAAGGUUGAAAUGGUGCGGUAAGAGCGCACCGCGUGACUGGCAACAGUUCACGGCAUGGUAAACCCCACCUGGAGCAAGACCAAAUAGGAAUCCGUUGGCGUGGCCCGCGCUGGAUUCGGGUAGGUUGC
rnacentral:ribozyme from 1 species